CUUUUUUACACGGAUUUCUGAGGAACAUAUCUACAAAAAGAACAAAUUUCCAUUGACUGCACCAGAAACUUUGGGCUUUUACUUCUUCAUCAAUUGAAUCGAAUCUUAAGACUAAUUAUAUUAACACUACUUGUUCGUUUCCUUACUCCUAAUCAUAAAGUUGGCGUUGACAAGCCAGGAAUUCGCUCAAUCUCUUAUUCUGUAACUCAACAGGAUUUGAAACCCAAAUUCUAUGUUCAUAUGUUAAUAAGAUGUUACAGUGGCAGCACAUGCACGAGUACUCGGAAGGAUGCGAUGACAUACAUACGUGCGGAAUUAUGGAUCGCGAUCAAUUAUGGAUCGUGGUUACAUCAAAUCAAAUUGAUGAAAUCAUAUUUGCGGAAAUUCCUGAUUCAGAGAUAGAUCCAGAAUUAUACGAA